rnacentral:ncRNA from 14 species
GGCUCGCGCCCGUAGUCUGGAGAAUCAGUCGCCAGGGUUGCGUUGCGGUAUGCCCCGGUUGGAGCCUAAGCGCGGCUCGUAUCGGCCGGUUUCCGCGACAAGCAGGGUUUGGCAGCCCCGUUAUUUCCAAGACCCCGCCAGCCGACUUCUCCAGUUUACGGGAGCGAGCCCUU